rnacentral:rRNA from 1 species
GACGAACGCUGGCGGCGUGCUUAACACAUGCAAGUCGAACGCUGAAGCUUGGUGCUUGCACUGGGUGGAUGAGUGGCGAACGGGUGAGUAAUACGUGAGUAACCUGCCCUUGACUCUGGGAUAAGCCUGGGAAACUGGGUCUAAUACUGGAUAUGACAUGCCACUGCAUGGUGGUGUGUGGAAAGGGUUUUUGUGGUUUUGGAUGGGCUCACGGCCUAUCAGCUUGUUGGCGGGGUAAUGGCCUACCAAGGCGACGACGGGUAGCCGGCCUGAGAGGGUGACCGGCCACACUGGGACUGAGACACGGACCAGACUCCUACGGGAGGCAGCAGUGGGGAAUAUUGCACAGUGGGCGGAAGCCUGAUGCAGCGACGCCGCGUGAGGGAUGACGGCCUUCGGGUUGUAAACCUCUUUCAGCACGGAAGAAGCGAGAGUGACGGUACGUGCAGAAGAAGCGCCGGCUAACUACGUG